CCUACGGGAGGCAGCAGUGGGGAAUCUUGGGCAAUGGGCGCAAGCCUGACCCAGCAACGCCGCGUGAAGGAAGAAGGCUUUCGGGUUGUAAACUUCUUUUAAGAGGGAAGAGCAGAAGCCGGUACCUCUUGAAUAAGCUACGGCUAACUACGUGCCAGCAGCCGCGGUAAUACGUAGGUGGCAAGCGGUGUCCGGAUUUACUGGGUGUAAAGGGCGUGUAGCCGGGCUUACAAGUCCGAUGUGAAAUCCCGGGGCUCAACCACGGAACUGCAUUGGAAACUGUCGGACUUGAGUAUCGGAGAGGAAGGCGGAAUUCCUAGUGUAGCGGUGAAAUGCGUAGAUAUAAGGAGGAACACCAGUGGCGAAGGCGGCCUGCUGGACGGCAACUGACGGUGAGGCGCGAAAGCGUGGGGAGCAAACAGGAUUAGAUACCCGAGUAGUC
rnacentral:rRNA from 1 species